rnacentral:rRNA from 1 species
UACGAAGGGGGCUAGCGUUGCUCGGAAUCACUGGGCGUAAAGCGCACGUAGGCGGAUUGCUAAGUCAGGGGUGAAAUCCUGGAGCUCAACUCCAGAACUGCCUUUGAUACUGGUGAUCUUGAGUCCGGAAGAGGUGAGUGGAACUGCGAGUGUAGAGGUGAAAUUCGUAGAUAUUCGCAAGAACACCAGUGGCGAAGGCGGCUCACUGGCCCGGUACUGACGCUGAGGUGCGAAAGCGUGGGGAGCAAACAGG